AACCAGAAAGGAGAGAGUCCUGGGGAGAGGACUGCCAUGAGAGGAGAGGGACUCAGCUAGCCACGAGCAACCUGACUUCACUUCCCUUCCCUCCCUUCAGUUUCCUUUCAGGGCUCCCCAUUGCUCAAACUCAACAGGAAGCCAGAGGAGGGGGGCACCCUGCUGAUGGAGUAUAUUCAUGUGGUUCAAAAUCCAGAGAGACAAAAAGGUAUGUGGUGAAGACUCCCUGCCAUCCACGUCUCCCUUGUACCCACUGUUGUGUUUUAGGAAGCCUUCUGGAAUUACUUCUUUUACAGGAAUGAAAUUUUCCUUGAGAUCUCCUCUAAAUCCAGCUGUUCGGAGCUUUGUUCCUGGCCCAAGACCUCCAUAUCCAUUUGGAAAAUGGGAGGAACUGAAAACCGGAAGUUCUUAUGAUGGGAGAGAGAGGUCGGGC